GACGUAGGGCGCGAGCGUUGUCCGGAUUUAUUGGGCGUAAAGAGCUCGUAGGCGGCCUGUUACGUCUGCUGUGAAAGCCCGGGGCUCAACUCCGGGUCUGCAGUGGAUACGGGCAGGCUAGAGUCCGGCAGGGGAGACUGGAAUUCCUGGUGUAGCGGUGAAAUGCGCAGAUAUCAGGAGGAACACCGGUGGCGAAGGCGGUUCUCUGGGACGGUACUGACGCUGAUGCGCGACAGCGUGGGGAGCAAACAGG
rnacentral:rRNA from 1 species